rnacentral:rRNA from 1 species
AAACCAACAGGGAUUGCCCUAGUAACGGCGAGUGAAGCGGCAACAGCUCAAAUUUGAAAGCUGGCCUUCGGGUCCGCAUUGUAAUUUGUAGAGGAUGCUUUGGGGCAGCCGCCUGUCUAAGUUCCUUGGAACAGGACGUCAUAGAGGGUGAGAAUCCCGUAUGUGGCAGGACAUGGCACCCUAUGUAAAGCUCCUUCGACGAGUCGAGUUGUUUGGGAAUGCAGCUCUAAAUGGGAGGUAAAUUUCUUCUAAAGCUAAAUACCGGCGAGAGACCGAUAGCGCACAAGUAGAGUGAUCGAAAGAUGAAAAGCACUUUGGAAAGAGAGUUAAAAAGCACGUGAAAUUGUUGAAAGGGAAGCGCUUGCAAUCAGACUUGUUUUGACUGUUCGGCCGGUCUUCUGACCGGUUUACUCAGUCUGGACAGGCCAGCAUCAGUUUUGGCGGCCGGAUAAAGGCUCAGGGAAUGUGGCUCUCACUUCGGUGGGAGUGUUAUAGCCCUGGGUGUAAUACGGCCAGCCGGGACUGAGGUCCGCGCUUCGGCUAGGAUGCUGGCGUAAUGGUUGUAAGCGAC